rnacentral:lncRNA from 1 species
CUUAAUUUCCAAUUUUGUAAACACACUGCAGCAAGCGCUGAGACCUUCCCGAGCUGCCACCGGUCUGCGAGCAGAGUGGCACAAAUCUACUUGAUUUCCAGGGGAACAGGGUUGGUCCCAGCUUUAAAAAGAGGUAAGAAGCAGUAUUUUUUUGUUCAUCUUUGCAGCGCUUUUUUGC